GACGAACGCUGGCGGCGUGCCUAAUACAUGCAAGUUGAGCGAUGAAGAUUGGUGCUUGCACCAAUUUGAAGAGCAGCGAACGGGUGAGUAACGCGUGGGGAAUCUGCCUUUGAGCGGGGGACAACAUUUGGAAACGAAUGCUAAUACCGCAUAACAACUUUAAACAUAAGUUUUAAGUUUGAAAGAUGCAAUUGCAUCACUCAAAGAUGAUCCCGCGUUGUAUUAGCUAGUUGGUGAGGUAAAGGCUCACCAAGGCGAUGAUACAUAGCCGACCUGAGAGGGUGGUCGGCCACCUUGGGACUGGGACAAGGCCCAAACUCCUACGGGAGGCAGCAGUAGGGAAUCUUCGGCAAUGGACGAAAGUCUGACCGAGCAACGCCGCGGGAGUGAAGAAGGUUUUCGGAUCGUAAAACUCUGGUGGUAGAGAAGAACGUUGGUGAGAGUGGAAAGCUCAUCAAGUGACGGUAACUACCCAGAAAGGGACGGCUAACUACGUG
rnacentral:rRNA from 1 species